rnacentral:rRNA from 1 species
AUACGGAGGAUCCGAGCGUUAUCCGGAUUUAUUGGGUUUAAAGGGUGCGCAGGCGGCCAUUUAAGUCAGCGGUUAAAUCGUGGGGCUCAACCCCAUUCUGCCGUUGAUACUGGGUGGCUUGAUUGCGGUCGAGGUUGGCGGAAUUCGUUGUGUAGCGGUGAAAUGCAUAGAUAUGACGAAGAACACCGAUUGCGUAGGCAGCUGACCAGACCGCAAAUGUCGCGCAUGCACGAAAGUGCGGGGAGCGAACAGGAUUAGAUACCCUGGUAGUCCGCACAGUAAACGAUGAAUACUUGUUUUCGGCGAUAUAAUGUCGGAGGCAAAGCGAAAGCGAUAAGUAUUCCGCCUGGGGAGUCAGCCGGCAACGGUGAAACUCAAAUGAAUUGACGGGG